CACGUAGGCACCAAGCGUUGUCCGGAUUUAUUGGGCGUAAAGAGCUCGUAGGCGGUUCGGUAAGUCGGGUGUGAAAACUUUGGGCUCAACCCAAAGCCUGCACCCGAUACUGCCGUGACUUGAGUCCGGUAGGGGAGUGGGGAAUUCCUGGUGUAGCGGUGGAAUGCGCAGAUAUCAGGAGGAACACCGGUGGCGAAGGCGCCACUCUGGGCCGGUACUGACGCUGAGGAGCGAAAGCGUGGGGAGCGAACAGG
rnacentral:rRNA from 1 species